rnacentral:rRNA from 1 species
UACGGAGGGGGCUAGCGUUGUUCGGAAUUAUUGGGCGUAAAGGGCGCGUAGGCGGCCAUGCGUGUCUUCCGUGAAAUCCCUCGGCUUAACUGAGGACGUGCGGAAGAAACUGCAAGGCUCGAGUCCGGGAGAGGGGGGUGGAAUUCCCAGUGUAGCGGUGAAAUGCGUAGAUAUCGAGAGGAACACCUGCGGCGAAGGCGGGUUGCUGGGCCGACACUGACGCUGAUGCGCGAAAGCCAGGGGAGCGAACGGG